GACGAACGCUGGCGGCGUGCUUAACACAUGCAAGUCGAACGGAAAGGCCCUGCUUUUGUGGGGUGCUCGAGUGCCGAACGGGUGAGUAACACGUGUGUAACCUGCCCUUGACUUUGGGAUAACUUCAGGAAACUGGGGCUAAUACCGGAUAGGAGCUCCUGCUGCAUGGUGUGGGUUGGAAAGUUUCGGCGGUUGUGGAUGGACUGGCGGCUUAUCAGCUUGUUGGUGGGGUAGUGGCUUACCAAGGCUUUGACGGGUAGGCGGCCUGGGAGGGUGACCGGCGACAAUGGGACUGAGAUACGGCCCAGACUCCUACGGGAGGCAGAAGGGGGGAAUAUGGCGCAAUGGGCGGAAGCGUGAUGCAGCAACGCCGCGUGCGGGAUGACGGCCUUCGGGUUGUAAACCGCUUUCGCAUGAGACGAAGCGUUAGUGACGGUAAUGGGUAAAGAAGCACCGGCUAACUACGUG
rnacentral:rRNA from 1 species